AUCAGAGUCAUGGUGAGAGGAGAGUCAAGGAGAUGUGUCCUGAGAACCAAACCUGCCUAUGGCACAGCCCAGCAUAAAGCCCCUGGUCUGUGCAAAUGUGGGGUCCAGAACCAUGAAUUCCAACUGAAAAUGCUUCACUAAGUCACCCUAAUAACAUCAGAAGCUAUGGAAAGAGAAUUACACGGUCGAAGGUGCCCAAUAUAAUAUUAUUCAGCAACAGACUAGGAUUUGCACCAUCUGCACUCCUGGUUCUCAGGCCUUGGACUUGGAUUGAAAUUAUACUCCUGGCUUUUCUGGGUCUCCAGCUUGCAGACAGCAGAUUGUGAGACUUCUCAACCUU